rnacentral:rRNA from 1 species
AUUGAACGCUGGCGGCAGGCUUAACACAUGCAAGUCGAGCGGGGUGAUGGUGCUUGCACUAUCACUUAGCGGCGGACGGGUGAGUAAUGCUUAGGAAUCUGCCUAUUAGUGGGGGACAACAUCUCGAAAGGGAUGCUAAUACCGCAUACGUCCUACGGGAGAAAGCAGGGGAUCACUUGUGACCUUGUGCUAAUAGAUGAGCCUAAGUCGGAUUAGCUAGUUGGUGGGGUAAAGGCCUGCCAAGGCGACGAUCUGUAGCGGGUCUGAGAGGAUGAUCCGCCACACUGGGACUGAGACACGGCCCAGACUCCUACGGGAGGCAGCAGUGGGGAAUAUUGGACAAUGGGGGGAACCCUGAUCUAGCCAUGCCGCGUGUGUGAAGAAGGCCUUAUGGUUGUAAAGCACUUUAAGCGAGGAGGAGGCUCUUUUGGUUAAUACCCAAGAUGAGUGGACGUUACUCGCAGAAUAAGCACCGGCUAACUCUGUGCCAGCCGCCGCGGUAA